rnacentral:rRNA from 1 species
GACGAACGCUGGCGGCGUGCUUAACACAUGCAAGUCGAGCGGAGCGGCGAACGGGUGAGUAACGCGUGAGUAAAUGCCCCCCUCUCUGGGAUAACAGUUGGAAACGGCUGCUAAUACCGGAUAGUGGGGGAUGGAGCGUGUCCUCUCGGCUUGUUGGUGGGGAAGUGGCCUACCAAGGCGACGACGGGUAGCCGGCCUGGUAGGGCGACCGGCCACAUUGGGCUGGGAUACGGCCCAACAUCCGACGGGGAGCAGCAGUGGGGAAUAUUGCACAAUGGGGGAAACCCUGAUGCAGCAACGCCGCGGGCGGGAUGACGGCCUUCGGGGUGUAAACCGCUUUCAGCCAUGACGCGUUAGUGGCAGAAGAAGCACCGGCUAACUACGUGCCAGCAGCCGCGGUAAUUC